UACAGAGGUCUCAAGCGUUGUUCGGAUUCAUUGGGCGUAAAGGGUGCGUAGGCGGCGCGGUAAGUCGGGUGUGAAAUCUCGGAGCUUAACUCCGAAACUGCAUUCGAUACUGCCGUGCUUGAGGACUGGAGAGGAGACUGGAAUUUACGGUGUAGCGGAUGAAAUGCGUAGAUAUCGUAAGGAAGACCAGUGGCGAAGGCGGGUCUCUGGACAGUUCCUGACGCUGAGGCACGAAGGCCAGGGGAGCAAACGGG
rnacentral:rRNA from 1 species